AAUUGGAGUUUCUGCAAGAGACAUUUUCUUUGCAGCUACUGCCUUCAGCCGGUAUCGCUCUGCUCUAGAUCCAAUAACCUGUCCGAGUACAGAAGCUGCAAUGGUAAAUGCCAUGGCUGACUUUGGCAUCAACACAGAUUUCCUAAGCAUUGCUAUGAAUGGGACUGCUGCAUGGACAGCUGCAAACCAUGAUGCUGAAAAUUUUUGGGUGUGUUCCCUCCAUAUUCCUAAAGGGACAUUCACAGCCAUGCCCAACAUCCCAAUCACAAGUACUUUGGCAGGCAGGGGUUGAGGCCGAAGGUUCUUAGCAAAUGCAGUCCGUGCUAUAGCUGCUCGGGCUGCAACCACAACAGGUGGGCACCUGAAUUUCACGCCUGGUGGGGGCUGGAAAACUUUUGCAACAAGCGGCAAGACA
rnacentral:misc_RNA from 1 species